AACGAACGCUGGCGGCAUGCCUAACACAUGCAAGUCGAACGAACCCUUCGGGGUUAGUGGCGCACGGGUGCGUAACGCGUGGGAAUCUGCCCUUUGCUUCGGAAUAACAGUUAGAAAUGACUGCUAAUACCGGAUAAUGUCUUCGGACCAAAGAUUUAUCGGCAAAGGAUGAGCCCGCGUAGGAUUAGCUAGUUGGUGGGGUAAAAGCUCACCAAGGCGACGAUCCUUAGCUGGUCUGAGAGGAUGAUCAGCCACACUGGGACUGAGACACGGCCCAGACUCCUACGGGAGGCAGCAGUGGGGAAUAUUGGACAAUGGGCGAAAGCCUGAUCCAGCAAUGCCGCGUGAGUGAUGAAGGCCUUAGGGUUGUAAAGCUCUUUUACCAGGGAUGAUAAUGACAGUACCUGGAGAAUAAGCUCCGGCUAACUCCGUGCCAGCAGCCGCGGUAA
rnacentral:rRNA from 1 species